rnacentral:rRNA from 1 species
AGUGAACGCUGGCGGCAGGCCUAACACAUGCAAGUCGAGCGGCAGCGCGGGGGCAACCCUGGCGGCGAGCGGCGGACGGGUGAGGAAUACAUCGGAAUCUACCCAGUCGUGGGGGAUAACGUAGGGAAACUUACGCUAAUACCGCAUACGACCUGAGGGUGAAAGCAGGGGACCGUAAGGCCUUGCGCGAUUGGAUGAGCCGAUGUCCGAUUAGCUAGUUGGCGGGGUAAAGGCCCACCAAGGCGACGAUCGGUAGCUGGUCUGAGAGGAUGAUCAGCCACACUGGAACUGAGACACGGUCCAGCCUCCUACGGGAGGCAGCAGUGGGGAAUAUUGGACAAUGGGCGCAAGCCUGAUCCAGCCAUGCCGCGUGUGUGAAGAAGGCCUUCGGGUUGUAAAGCACUUUUGUCCGGGAAGAAAAGCGACGGGUUAAUACCCUGUUGUUCUGACGGUACCGGGAGAAUAAGCACCGGCUAACUUCGUGCCAGCAGCCGCGGUAAGAC